rnacentral:rRNA from 1 species
GCUGCAACUCGCCUGCAUGAAGUCGGAAUUGCUAGUAAUCGCAGAUCAGCAUGCUGUGGUGAAUACGUUCCCGGGCCUUGUACACACCGCCCGUCACACCAUGGGAGUCGGUAACACCCAAAGUUGGUAGUCUAACCGCAAGGAGGACGCCGCCUAAGGUGGGAUUGAUGACUGGGGUGAAGUCGUAACAAGGUACC